CGCGGGAUUUGCCUNACUNAGUAACAGCAGCCGCGGUAAUACGGAGGGUGCAAACGUUGCUCGGAAUUAUUGGGCGUAAAGCGUACGUAGGCGGUCCAGCAAGUCGGGUGUGAAAGCCCUCGGUUUAACCGAGGAAGUGCAUUCGAAACUACAGGACUNGGAUACUGGAGAGGAUUGCGGAAUUCCCGGUGUAGAGGUGAAAUUCG
rnacentral:rRNA from 1 species